UUUCUUGGACCAAUGUCCCUAAAUUCCUUUCUUUUCAAGCCAUUCUUUAAGGAGAACAAUGUCCCUUAUAUAAUGGCCUUCUUUCAUGCAGACUUGCACUUUUCACUUUUGAGUCACAAGUACCCAGUUCUUUCCUUUGCUACCUUCAAGAAUGAAAGCAUGGAGAUCCUUUUCUGAAAACACGUUCAACAAAUGAUCAAUAAUAAUGAGCAUGAAAAUAACCCUACAUUGGUCUGGUUAAAGACAUGCACAUUAAAAUUUUAAAUCUUUCCUUUUAUAUUCUAAAUCACCUUUGGGCAGAAAUAGAAU
rnacentral:lncRNA from 1 species